AGUAAACGCAGCCAUGAAUUUUCGUGUCCAACUUUGAUCAUCCGUUUAUUUGAAAUUUUUUUAUGAUUAGCAUUUUAUUGUUAUUAGAUUAUAAAACAUGAGUUAUACUUUAUACGUAACUUAUGUUUUAUAAUUUAUUUGAAAAAAAAUUCAAAUAAGAUGAACGAUUAAAGUUAGACACGAAAAAUCAUGGAUGCGCUUAUU
rfam:Oryza glumipatula chromosome 3, whole genome shotgun sequence.